UACGUAGGGUGCAAGCGUUGUCCGGAAUUAUUGGGCGUAAAGAGCUCGUAGGCGGUCUGUCGCGUCGGCUGUGAAAACCCGAGGCUCAACCUCGGGCCUGCAGUCGAUACGGGCAAACUAGAGUACUGCAGGGGAGACUGGAAUUCCUGGUGUAGCGGUGAAAUGCGCAGAUAUCAGGAGGAAUACCGGUGGCGAAAGCGACUCUCUGGACGGCAACUGACGCUGAGGCGCGAAAGCGUGGGGAGCAAACAGG
rnacentral:rRNA from 1 species